AGUGAACGCUGGCGGUAGGCCUAACACAUGCAAGUCGAACGGCAGCACAGUAAGAGCUUGCUCUUACGGGUGGCGAGUGGCGGACGGGUGAGGAAUACAUCGGAAUCUACUUUUUCGUGGGGGAUAACGUAGGGAAACUUACGCUAAUACCGCAUACGACCUACGGGUGAAAGCAGAGGAUCUUCGGCCCUUGCGCGAUUGAAUGAGCCGAUGUCGGAUUAGCUAGUUGGCGGGGUAAAGGCCCACCAAGGCGACGAUCCGUAGCUGGUCUGAGAGGAUGAUCAGCCACACUGGAACUGAGACACGGUCCAGACUCCUACGGGAGGCAGCAGUGGGGAAUAUUGGACAAUGGGCGCAAGCCUGAUCCAGCCAUACCGCGUGGGUGAAGAAGGCCUUCGGGUUGUAAAGCCCUUUUGUUGGGAAAGAAAAGCAGCAGGUUAAUACCCCGCUGUUCUGACGGUACCCAAAGAAUAAGCACCGGCUAACUUCGUG
rnacentral:rRNA from 1 species